CUGUUGGCUUGGCUCGAAGAAUCCAUCUUUUGAUUCUUUCCUGCAAACAUUCCAAUCACAUGUUUGUAGUACUGGAGCUGCGACACCUCUCUACCGAGAAGUAACGGUUGUACCUAGAAAGACUCCCUGAUCUCCGAGCUAUGUACCCUGUCGAGUAGCGUUACUCCAGGAUCCUUUCCUUCCUUCCUACAUUCCUUCCUUCUCUCUCUCUCUCUUUCAUAUACACACGCGCGCGUGGUUACUUACCAAAUUGGAAAACUAGCAAUUUUAUGAUAGAAGAUGUAAAGUCCAUUCGGUGAUCCCAAGUAUCAAACGGGUACUGUAUUUUAUCGGCCCUCGAGGAACAAAGGGUCAAGUUGCCCCUCUCGAUGAAAUUUGAACUCAGAGCGAAUGCCGGAAGAAAUGACGCUAAGCGUUUUAUCCAACACGCUAACGAUUCUGCCAGCUCUUAAUGAUAAUUUUAUUAGUAAUAAAAAUCCUUUCUACUAAAAGCACAAGGCCUGGAAUUUGGCGGGGUGGGGUCAAGUAGAUUACAUUGACCGCAGGCAAAUAUUUUAUCGACCCCAAAAGAUGAAAGGCAAAGUCAACCUCAACCUUUUGGGGUCGAUAGUAGGGACCUUUUCAGCGGGAUGGGAUACUCGACCUGAAGAAAAUUCUAACUGGGCCCCACCUACAAGAUCAUGCGUUGUUUGUCUUGAUAUGGGAUCACCGUGUUGCGCACAUAUGGUUGUGAUGCAUGUGCCUGGUGUACCCUUAUCAAACGGGUGGUCAUGAUGGGUCUAUUGGGCUUCGUAUAUUUGUACCCUAGUAUCACUUUGAUGGCAUGCAUUGCUCUCUUACCCGAUAAUAAUAAUAAUAAUAAUAAUAAUAAUAAUAAUAAUAAUGAUAAUAAUGAUAAUAAUAAUAAUAAUAAUGAUAAUAAUAAUAAUAAUAAUAAUAAUAAUAAUAAAUUUUAUACUUUUUUGUUUGUUUUAUAUUGAAAUUAGAUAACCAUAACAUGGUUGACUAUAAGUUUAUAUCGGACUAAAAGGAAGUAGCUGCAACUCGGUGUCGAACAAAUAUUGCUAGGGGAUUUUGCUCGUACAUCAUCAGUUUUUCGGUCUUCUUGCUCGUGUUUACCAAUUUCAUCGACCAACCUACACACACACGUUCGUUCGUUAAUGCAUACACACACACACACACACACACACACACACACUGACACGAACAUAUGGCAGUCAUUGAAAAAAGUCACCAUCCCCCUCAUUUCACUCUUUCACCCAACACAAGACUUUUGUUGAUCUGAGGCUCGGAUAGAAGCCAUAUACCCGGGGUGCCUGCCGAACACGGCUGUACGUUUCCUGAUCGAACUUCUGACCAGGCAGCCAUGCCUAACCUAUUAUUGAGCUUAAUGAGAGAGAUCCCAGCUGGAAAUGGAGAAAUCCCAAAGGAGAUAAUAACAGCCAACUGCGCUUAAUUCCAUUCCAUUAUUUAUAUAUUGUUCUGCUUAACAUAGUUAUAUACCUGCCGCCAUACAUUGUACUAAAGCUGUGUGUGUGUGUGUGUGUGUGUGUGUGUGUGUGGCUUGGAUAUAUAUCAAGCAUAGAUCGAUAUACACAUCUGUGCUGAGUGUGAGCAUUAACAAUGACAAUCCUAUGUACACACACACACAACACACACAUUUUAUAUUUAUACUAGCAGUAUCGCCCGGCGUUGCUCGGGUUUGUAAGGGAAAUAACAAUAUAAGCAUUUUUAGAGAGUUAUAGCCAAAAAAAUAGCAAAAACAUGCAUUAAAAUGGAAAAAAGAUUAUGGUAAUUUUUUUUAAAAACCGUUGACUCAUCGUAGACAUUUUUAGAGAGUUACUUCCCUUAUAUAAUAGCGAAAAAAUGCAUUAAAAUGGAAAAAAAUGAUGGUAAAUUAUUUAAAAAAUCGUAGACUCAUCGUAGACGCGCGCUAAUACCCAGAAGGGCUCGAUAUGAAUCACGACUAUAAGAUACCCGGUUUUGGUUAAACUGCACCGCAAAAUGUGGGAGUAGUUAGGAAUCUAAAUCGUAGGAGACAGACACUCACACAACUUCACUUUUAUAUAUAUAUAUAUAUAUAUAUUAUAUAUGAGAGCGCUAAUUUAUAUUUUAUAAGCAUUACAAAAUAAUCUUUUAAUGCUAAAAUGUUAAAAUACCAUAGUAAAAAAAAAUGUGAAAACCGUGCCAGGUUUUAAGAUCAUUCAACUGAUAUAUUAUUCUAUACACAUUCACACCAAUUCGAAACUAUUUAUUUAUAUAUAUAUUAAUAAAUAAAAUAAAACAUAUGCAUAUAUAUAAACAUAUAUGUACGUACCUACCUCUACAUGUACAUAUACACGCAUAUAUGAGUACAGGACACCAAAGGGACGUCGAACACAAAGAGAAACGAAAACAUAGACACAAACCAAAGGAACUGGACAUUUUUUUAAAAACAACAAAAAUGGAGUACAGGACAAUUAACACAAAGAAAAAAACCCUUCUUCAGUCGCUAAGGUUUCAUCUACUCUACGUUUCGAAGGAUAAAAGCGAAUAUAUAUAUAUAUAUAUAUAUAUAUAUAUAUAUAUAUAUAUAUAUAUAAGAAAGAAAGCGGGGAAGAGAGAUAAAUAGUUCUGCUAGUGAUUACAGAUAAUUUGAAGUUUCAUCUCUAAAAAACAGAAAUUUAAAAAUCAAUGGAUAUAUUUUUUUAAUGAAACUUAGAAUCAGUCAUUUCAAUCAAUUACAUGAUUAAGAUAAUUUAUGUAAUUCAUAGAACGGUUUGAGAAUGUUGAGAUCAUUACAGACAUGAAAGGAAGGUAAAAAGAUAAAAUAGAUUAUCAUUAUUAUUAUUAUUAGUUAGACCAUGAAAUGUGUCGUUUUUAUUAAUAUACAGUUAGUAGUCUGAUAUCGUUCAUGAUAAUAGCUGUGUGAGUAUAUAUAUAUAUAUAUAUAUAUAUAUAUAUAUAUAUAUAUAUAUAUAUAUAUAUAUAUAUAUAUAGGUGUAGGAGUGGCUGUGUGGUAAGUAGCUUGCUUACCAACCACAUGGUUCUGGGUUCAGUCCCACUGCGUGGAACCUACUAUAGCCUCGGGCCGACCGAAGCCUUAAGUGGAUUUGGUAGACGGAAACUGAAAGUAGCCCAUCGCAUAUACAUAUAUAUAUAUAUAUAUAUAUAUAUACACACACACACACACACACAUAUAUAUAUAUAUAUAUAUACACACACACACACACACACACACACACAUAUAUAUAUAUAUACACACACACACACACACACACACACACAUAUAUAUAUAUAUAUAUAUAUAUAUAUACACGACGGGCUUCUUUAUAUAUAUGUAUGUGUGGAUAUGUUUGUAUCUCUGUUUGUCCCCACCUCCAACAUCGCUUGACAACCGAUGGUGGUGUGUUUAUGUCCUCGUAACUUAACGGUUCGGCAAAAGCGACUAAUAGAAUAAGUACUAGACUUCCAAAGAAUAAGUCCAGGGGCUGAUUUGCUCGACUAAAGGCGGUGCUCCAGUAUGGCCGCAGUCAAAUGACUGAAACAAGUAAAAGAAUAAAGGAAUAUAUAUAUAUAUAUAUAUAUAUAUAUAUAUAUAUUCGUUUAUCAGUUCGUUUUGCAAGAUUCCUCAUGUGAAAUCGUGCGUUGAAACAGAUAUUGUUGUAUUUCGUGAUGGUCAUUUAGAAGAACAGAAUGGGGUAAGUGGAGCGAGAGAACACACGAAAACGAAAAGUGUCGCUGAAGAGGUCACAGAUGUGUGACGAAAGAUUUCCGGACAAUGGACAUAAGUUAAAAUAAUAAAAUAAGAACAGUAAUAAACGAGUGAAGAAAUACAUAGUGCGUGUGUUUAUUUGGCAAAAAUAAAUAAACAAGUAAAUAAAUGAAAAAAAUGACCAUCCAGCUUGAACGGUGGUUCCUUUUAUUGCUCAACCAAUAAAAAGAAAACUCUACCUUCCAAGCGGAACGCGCCCAAAUAUUUCACCCAUUGCAGGCAUCUGAUUGAUUAGGCUCCUGCGUACGCACCCAGGGAAACGCUGAGUAAUAUCCCUGUCUUUAACUAUAUGUAAAGACACCGGGCUUCAGGCAGCUGGCGAAGAAACUUCAAGUCUUGUAUGCGAGUCUCCGCAACUGUUUCAUUCAAUAAAUAUUGUCUUCUAUUUCCAACAGUAUUGAUCUGUGCCUCUUUUGGCGUCACACGCGUCAUAUAUAUAUAACGGGAGCAGAAUUAACACCAAAAUGCAAACUUUGCGUCCAGCUUAACGUGGAUGUUUUGUUAGAAUACUGAAAACUGCGUUAUCUAUCUUGAGAGAACCUCUAAUAUGGACUCAUGGUGCUUGUCUGUGGAUGGAGAGGGUGUAAGCUGUCUAAGAAUCCAUAAGUAAAGAAAAAUGCAUUCGUAUCAUUGGGGUUCAACGAGUGUGAGGUAACAGUCCGAUUAUGUAACCCUGCGCUCUUCAGAGGUAGUGGUUAUGGAAUGAAAUAUGGCGACAGAUCUCUCGCCGUAUUUCAUUCCAUAACGGCUACCUCUGAAGAGCACUGGGUUACAUAAUCGGACUGUUACCUAACUCUCCGUUGAACCCCAAUGCGAAACCGAUUGGUAAGCUCGGCUGUAAUGGAUAUAUAAUAAUGUAUACUUCGAUUGUGUGUUGUGUUCUUGAGCAAGACACUUUAUAUAUACAUACACAUAUACACACACAUAUAUUAACAUACACACACACGUAUACACACACACAUAUACAUACACAUAUACACACACAUAUAUUAACAUACACACACACACAUACACACACACACACAUACAUACAUACAUACAGAGUGGAGAGAUGGUGACGCACAAAGUUCAGUAUGCUUUGGAAUUGUCAAAGACAUGAAUCGAUUUUUCUAAAAUUGAAUAAAAUAGAUAAAAUAAUGACGAUGAGGGUUCCAGUUGAUCCGAUCAACGGAACAGCCUGCUCGUGAAAUUUGACGUGGCUGAGCACUCCACAGACACGCGUGCCCUUAACGUAGUUCUCGGGUGAGAUUCAGCGUGACCACAGACUGUGACAAGGUUGACCCUUUGAAGUCACAGGUACAACAGAAACAGGAAGAAAAAGUGAGAGAAAGUUGUGGUGAAAGAGUAGAGCAGGGUUCGCCACCACCCGCGGCCGGAGCUUCGUGUUUUCGCUCAAUAAACACUCAUAAUGCCCUAACCACAGGGCCAUUGCGCCUCCACAUACACACACACUUGUACAUGAACAAAAUGAAUAUUAAUAAUAAUAAUAACAAUAAUAAUAAUAAUAAUAAUAAUGAUAAUAAUAAUAAUAAUAGGCGCAGGAGUGGCUGUGUGGUAAGUAGCUUGCUAACCAACCACAUGGUUCCGGGUUCAAUCCCACUGCGUGGCAUCUUGGGCAAAUGUCUUCUGCUAUAGCCCCGGGCCGACCAAAGCCUUGUGAGUGGAUUUCGUAGACGGAAACUGAAAGAAGCCUGUCGUAUAUAUGUAUGUAUAUAUAUAUGUAUGUGUGUGUGUUUGUUCCCCUAGCAUUGCUUGACAACCGAUGCUGGUGUGUUUACGUCCCCGUUACUUAGCGGUUCGGCAAAAAGAGACCGAUAGAAUAAGUACUGGGCUUACAAAAAGAAUAAGUCCCGGGGUCGAGUUGCUCGACUAAAGGCGGUGCUCCAGCAUGGCCGCAGUCAAAUGACUGAAACAAGUAAAAGAGUAAAAGUAUAAUAAUAAUAAUAAUUUAUUCUUUUAUUGGCCACAAGGGCUCACAUACAAAACAUUAAAAGACCUGGAACAUAAAAGACAAAAACAGGACGCUACAAUGGGUUUUCGCGUGUAUACAAUGUAUUAACAAAAAAGUGGAACAAACCGAACUCCCAAUUGGGGAGGCGCUUUAAGGUCCUCGUGGAAAACCACACAAAAGCCACGGGUGCCUGUUCACAACAGGACAAGAGCCCUUCUUUUGUUUACAGGUGUAUGCUCAGAAUUGGUCCUUUCACACUAGCCAUUCUUAAACUUGCUACAAGACAGCACUUCCCUCUCCACCCUCAGCUUCCUUUCCAAGUGAAACUUGAAAAGUUGACGAGGGCUUGGCCAAAGAAGAAAGUGCCAGUCUUUAGCCCUUUCAAACGGGUUCGAUCAUAAUAUCUCUUUAAUAAUAAUGCAAUAUAAAUAAAAUGUUGAAUGUUUUGGUGCGUAACUUUUGGCCCACCACACAUGGAGGAAGCAGGUUAAGAAGGGGUCGACAGUUUUGAGAGAGCACCACUUCUUCAUGAAGAAUUUAAGCAGUGCUGCUCAGAAAAGCACACUGCUGGGGUAGUGAAUGGGGAAAGCUGGGUUUGUAAUGUUUGCAGUCAUGUAGGCUUAUCAAGAGCAUGGCUAAUUAGCCACCAACCGAGCUGCAAGUGCAAAAUAUAAGUUAGUCCUAGAGCACACAAGGUUCCUAAAGGUCAGCAAUGGUCUUCCUUGGUCAAGUGUAGACGGCCAUCAUAUAUAUAUAUAUAUAUAUAUAUAUAUAUAUAUAUAUAUAUAUAUAUAUAAAUAUCUGUGAGUGUGUGUAUGUGUAUAUAUAUAUACUUUUGUUUCAGUUAUUUGACUGCGGCCAUGAUGGAACACCGCCUUCAGUCGAACAAAUUGACCCCCAAGAUUUAUUCUUUGUAAGCUUAGUACUAAUUCAAUCGGUCUCCUUUGCCGAACCGCUAAGUUAUGGGGAUGUAAACACACCAGCAUCGGUUAUCAAGCGAUGGUGGGUGAGACAAACACAGAAACAAAUACACACACACAUAUAUAUAUAUAUAUAUAUAUAUAUAUAUUAUACGAAGGGCUUCCUUCAGUCUCUGUCUACCAAAUCAACACACAAUAUUUUGGUCGGCUUGAGGCUAUAAUAGAAGACACUUGGACAAGGUAGCAUGCAGUGAGACUGAACCCGAAACCAGGUGGUUGGGAAGCAAGCUACUUACCACACAGCCACGCCUGUGUGUUAUUUCACACAAACACACAAACACAAACACACAGGUCUUACAAAAAGGUGGCAUGUUUGAUUAUCACCGAUUAUGACUAAAAGCUUAGAAAGCAACAGAUUAUUUGCAGAUAAGCCAAGGGCCAGCAUAGUAACCCUGUAUUACAUACAUAUACACAAGUACCAUAAACAUACAUUUCGUAUGCACACACACAUAUAUAUAUACAUAGACAGAUACACACAUUCAUGUAUAUAGACAUACAUAUAUGUAUAUACAUAGAUACGUACGCACAUACAUACACAUUGCUCUAUUCCGUUCAUCUCCCUUCAAAUUCCUUAUGUAUCCCUAUGAUCCUCUCUCUCUCUCUUUACCCCUCUUUAUACUCCCCCUUCACACAGCCUCUAUACCUUCCUCCACAACUACCACCACCUUCCACAUUACUAUUAUUAUUAUGAUUAUUAUUAUUAUCAUUAUUAUUAUUAUAAAAUAACAAAACCAGAAAACGGAAGUUAUUCAAUGAAUUUAAACAGGAAGAAGAAAACCAAACAAAAAAACCUCCCCAAAAAACCCGGUAAUCUUCAGGUUAGCAGCGAACAUCCUCGCAGAGUUGCAGAGUGGAAUGGCUGACUGGCAACAGAGAAAAUAGUAGUUCUUGGGAAAUGACAUGCCAGGGAAGAAAUACGUCAGUCACGGAUCGAUCAGCGCUUUUAAACUAGGCGGAAUAAAAAUAGUGGUUGUAGUAGAACAUAUAUAUAAAUAUAUAUAUAUAUAUAUAUACAUACAUGUAUUAUGUACAUGUGUGUAUGUAUGUAUGCAUGUAUGUAGUCGUAUAUGCAUGUAGGUUUGAUUGUAGGUCUGAUGGUGUGUCGGCGUGUGUCACGUGAAAGACGGUAGACUAUAGAACAGCCAUUUAUAGAGCCCUGCUGUUUUCGUGAUGCAGACAUUUUGCUUAUCUCUUAUUCAUCGAAUUUAUCUUGGGUAAUAUGGUGGAAAGGAUGUGUGUGUGUGUGUGUGUGUGUGUACUCAUAUAAAGAGAAAGUUAGAUACAUGCUUACAUGAAUCCACAUACAUACAUACAUACAUACAGACAAGCAUGUAUACAUGUAUAUGCGUAUACAUAUAUAUAUAUAUAUAUAUAUAUAUAUAAUGUUUGCACAUAUGUAAAUAUGUGUGUAUACACACACACAUACACGUAGACAGACUACAUACAUAUAAGUAAACAAACACACACAUAAGCAUACAUACUGUAUGUGCAUGUAUGCAUAUAUAUAUAUAUAUAUAUAUAUAUAUACACACACAAGCGCACGCGUACAUUAAUACAUACACACAUAAACACACGCAUAUACAAAUAUAUGCAUACAUACAUACACUCGUACGUACAUAAACACACGCAUGAACAGACACACAUGCGUACACACAACACAUUAAACAUGUACGACAAUCCAAGUGUACUAAAAAUGUUACAACUGCCAACACCGGCGCCAUCACCGCCACCGCCACACCACUACAGAUAACCCCCACCCCCUACGCACACACACACACCUACUCCACACACACCCCAAAUCCCCACCACCCCUACGUACACCGACCAACACACGCAGAUCACAAUCGAACCGCCGCACACUCCACUCAGCCAUACAUCAACAUUCUCCAUUACACACUUGCAGAGGCAGAAAGAGAGACCCGGCGUCUGCGCAUGCGCACCAGGCCGUCAUUAUAUUUAUUUAUUUAUUUAUUUAUUAACUGUUAAUAUGAAGUAAUGUACUUAUUAAUUAUUAUUAUUAUUAUUAUUAUUUAUUAUUUUAUUUAUUUAUUUGUUUUUGGAGGGGCUUUUUUGGCGCGGCCUUCCCUAAUGGAAUUAUCAGACCACAACAGAAUUAUCUGAAAGAUAAUAGAAUUUAGAUAUGGCUGUCAUGCUUGCCCAACAAUUCAACAGCAAUAUUUUUGCAGUAUUGGUGUGUGUGUGUGUGUGUGUGUGUGUGUGCGAGAGAGACAGACAGGCAGACACACAGACAGAGAGUGACAGAGACAGACGGACAGAAAACGUUUGCUGAACAUGAUUGUCACUCAGUUCAUCUAAUUCACAAUCAUUACAUAAAUAAUUUCUUAUCUGUCUUCUACAACAUAUCUACCUCUCCACCAUAUGUGAUAUAUAUAUAUAUAUAUAUAUAUAUACAGAGACACACACAGGCACAGACGCAAGCACACACACGCACACAAACACACACUCACACAAGUACACACACACACACGCACACAUACAGAGGCAAACACACACACACACAGAGGCAAGCACACACAUGCACACACAAAUACACAGAAGCAAGCACACACACACAGAGGCAAGAAUACACGCGUGCACACACACAAACACACAGAAGCAAGCACACACGUGCACUCACUUACACACACACACACAAGCACACACAUACAUGCAGGCGUGGUUCCUGGUUCAGUCCUUCUGCGUGGUACCUUAGGCAAGUGUCUUCUAGCACAGACCCUGGCCAACCAAACCCCUGAGAGUAAAUUUGGUAGACGGAAACUAAAAGAAGCCUGUUGUAUGUAUGCAUAUAUACAUACAUAUAUGUGUGUGUGUGAGAGAGAGAGAGAGAGAGAGAGAGAGAGAGAGAGAGAGAGAGAGCAGUGUUGAUUGGGUACCUGUUCGUAACUUAGCGGUUCGAUUAGAGAAUCGAAUAGAAUUAGUACCAGGCCUUAAGAAACAAAGUACUGGAGUCGCUUCGUUCGAUUAAAACCCGUCAGGCCGGUGCCCCAGCUCGGCCGCAGUUCAAUAACUGAAACUGUGUGCGUGCAUAUAUAAGGUGCUAGGCCUGGUGAUUAAGUCGGUGCACACACGAUCGAAAGAUCGUGGUUUCGAUUCCCAGACCGGCGGUGCGUUGUGUUCUCGAGCACAGCAUGGCAUUUUGGACAAGUGUCUUCUACCACCAUAGCCCUGGGAAGAGAGCCUUGUGAGGGGAUUCGGUAGAUGGAAGCUAUACGGAAGCUUGUCGGGUGUGUGCGUGUGUGGUUAGGUCCCCAUCACUGCCUGACAACCGGCCUUAGUUACGUUCCCGCAACUUAGCACUACAGCAAAAGAGAACGACAGAAUAAUAUACCAAACUUUAGAAAGUGAGAACUGAGACAUUGCUCCGGCUUUUCACGUUCUGAGUUCAAAUGCGGCAAAGGUCAACCUUGCCGCUCAUCCCUUCGCGGUCGAUGAAAUAAAGCAUGAAAUACUGAGAUCGAUGUAAUCAACUGACCUCCAGCUUUUUAUGUUCAGAGUUCAGAUCAUAACAUGAACUUCGACUUUCAUCCCUCCGGGGUCACUAAAAUAAAGUGUCAGUCAAGUACUGGGGUCGAUGUAAAAUUGCUGGCCUUGUGUCAAAUUUGAAACCAUUAUUAUAGAUGAUGUUGUUGCUGCUACUAAUGAUGAUGCUGUUAGCUCCAGAUGAAACCCUAAUCGAGUACAAAGGCACUCGUACCUUAACAGAGUCAGCGAGUUAUGUUGAGUAACAGAGUCGAACCUUUCAAUCCAUCCGAGGGGACUUCCUUACAGUUUCCGCUGUCUCAGUUUCAAUCAUCAAGGAUUUGAGUCGACCCAACGACACGGUGACAAAACAGAUACCUGGCAGCGGGAUCGAACUAGGAAUCUCGUCUUUGGAAAACGAACCCUCUUUAACCAAUCAAAUCAUUCCCACAUAAUUCAAAGAGGAAAGAAGUCAGAUUAUUCCAUUAAUAACUUGUAGAAACUCCGUAUUUCGUUAAGCAACCGUAAUAUGCUACAGAGUAUAUUAAAGUCUGUACUGUAUUCUACUGUGUUAGCAGUGCUAUAACGUUAUAAAUGCGUUGAAUAGAGACAGUAAAGCGAGUAGCCACAUCAAAGUGACAGAUGAAUGUUACUACUAGUUUAAUCCCUGGCGGGGAUAGUAGGGGUGGGUUCGCUCCCCCUGCUAGUGAUAUAUUAUAUGGUGGAAGCACUCCGUCGGUUACGACGACGAGGGUUCCGGUUGAUCCGAAUCAACGGAACAGCCUGCUCGUGAAAUUAACGUGUAAGUGGCUGAGCACUCCACAGACACGUGUACCCUUAACGUAGUUCUCGGGGAUAUUCAGCGUGACACAGAGAGUGACAAGGCCGGCCCUUUGAAAUACAGGUACAACAGAAACAGGAAGUAAGAGUGAGAGAAAGUUGUGGUGAAAGAAUACAGCAGGGAUCACCACCAUCCUUUCGCCGGAGGCUCGUGGAGCUUUUAGGUGUUUUCGCUCAAUAAACACUCACAACGCCCGGUCUGGGAAUCGAAACCGCGAUCCUACGACUAAAAGGCGGUGCUCCAGCAUGGCCGCAAUCAAAUGACUGAAACAAGUAAAAGAGUAUAUAUAUAAUGUCCGAACGUUCGAAACGCGGAGAAGAGAAAACAGGGGACAACUGACGAAGGGAUUGUCCUUUAUGUUGCCUGUCUCGUUUCUCUGUUUCUUUCGUGGUUCGAAAAAAUUUCGUUUACAUGUUUUUGUUUUUUUAUGUUCUCGUUUUUCAUUUUGUUCACGUUUUCUUGACGUAUCCAUAUAUGAAUGUAUAUAUACAUAUAUAAAUAUAUAUACAUAUAUAUGUAUGUACAUCUAUGUAUGUAUAUAUGCAUAUAUAUAUACAUAUAUAUGUAUGUACAUCUAUGUAUGUAUAUAUGCAUAUAUAUAUACAUAUAUAUGUAUAUAUAUCUAUGUAUGUAUAUAUAUAUAUAUAUAUUAUUUAUAUUAUAUUUAUAUAUAUUAUUUAUAUUAUAUUUAUAUACACAUACACACAAUACAUUUAACAAGAGAAAUAUAUUCCCUGGUUCAAUGAAGGGAUUUGAACGAAGAAUGGACUCAGUGUUCAUUGAUAACUCGAAGAUUCCAAAAUACAACCGACAUUCUACCCAACACACACCUACACACACACAAACACACAAGUCUUAUACACCCUAGCGUGAAUCAACCUUGCUAGUUAACAUGUGAAAAACGGUAUCUUAGUCACAGAUAAGCAGAAUUCUAGAGAUAUUUGGCAUCGAAAGACACCCAAACAGACCGACCCUUAUCUUUUAGAGUUUGUUUUAAAAAAGCUAUUUUCGUCAUCUAACCUAUAUAUAUAUAUAUAUACACAUACAAACAUACAUACAUACAUAUUAAUAUGGACGUGUUGUUACCUUCUAUGUAUGUGUCUUGUGUGUGUGUAUAAAAGUAUUUGUAUAUAUUUCUAUACAGAGCUGAUUGCAUAUGAAUGUAUAUAUAUAUAUAGAUGUGUGUAUGACGUAUAUGCACAUAGGCUUAACAAAUGCACAAUAUAUGUUUGUGCGUGAUUUUUAAGAUGUGUGUGGAAUUUAUAUGCGUUUUUUGUGCAUGUGUGUAUGUGUGUGUGAUUAGGUCAUUUUGUCACGUGACUUUAUCAAAUUAAAUUUCGGUCUACAUGCCAUCAGAAGUAAGAAUUAUGUCUUCUUUCAUCGCUGGUUUGAUAUGGACGAAGGAACUGUCUCCAAGCCCUUCACAGACUUUCCAAGACCAACACGUGUGCCUGUAGCUUUAACCGGCCUUCCGUAACCUAGAACUGUACCAAGUCUUCGCAUAACCUCCCAGACCAAAAACUGUGGUUAUGCCCUUUGCAAGCCAUGCCCCACCGGCAUGGAGACCAGGAUUUGUAACCAUAGCUUCCAUAAGGCCUUUCAAACUGUUCUUAUAGCCUUCGGAGGCCUUUCGAAACCAGGGGUUGCCUACACACAUAAAUAUUCUUUCCUUUGUGUCAGUUAUUUGACUGCGGCCAUGCUCGAGCACCGCCUUUAGUGGAACAAAUCGACCCAGGACUUAUUCUUUCUAACUCUAGUACUUAUUCAAUCGGGUUCUUUUGCCGAACUGCUAAUGUCACGGGGACCUAAACACACCGACAUCGGUUGUCAAGCGAUGGUGGGAGGACAAAGACACACACACACACAUAUAUAUAUAUAUACAAAAUGAGACAAGAACGCAAGACAUCCAGAAGACGAUACAAAAAACACGGAUGGGUCAUUCGAAGCCUUUAAUCUUCAGUCAAGAACCGGAUCAUCCUCGCAAUUUCGGAUAUAUAUAUAUAUAUAUAUAUAUAUAUAUAUAUAUAUAUAUAUAUACGACGAGCUUCUUUCAGUUUCCGUCCACCAAAUACACUCACAAGGCUUUGGUAAUAGAAGACACUUGCCCAAGAUGCCACGCAGUGGAACUGAACCUGGAACCAUGUGGUUGGAAAGCAAGCUUCUUUCCUCCUCAGACACUCCUAUCUCAUAACUAUGUACUAGAAGCAUCAUUGUUUGCUACAUUCAAGAUUUUUUUCCACAGAAUAACAUAUGGAGUUGUGUAAAAUAUAUAUUUAACCCAGUGUCUGUCCAAAACAUUUUCCUGAGUUUGUCCUAGGCGUCCAUACUUGUUUUCAGGUUUUUAGUCAACCUUUGUUUCAUAUGCUCCGAGUAAUAUAAAGUCUUCCUGUCGUAACUUCAAAGUUAGUUUACUAGGUCUAUUAUAUGAUGCAUGAACGCCAGGGAAUAUAUAUCCUGUGCAUCAUAUGUGGUACACAGAAUAGGCAAGGGGUUAAUUAUUUAAUAUUAUUUACCAUGAGGUGGCGAGCUGGCAGAAUCGUUAACACACCGGGCAAAAUGCUUAGCGGUAUUUCGUCCUUCUUUACGUUCUGAGUUCAAAUUCUGCCGAGGUUGAAUUUGCCUUUCAUCCUGUCGAGGUGUGCGUGUGUGUGGUGGGGGGGGGUCAAUAAAAUAAGCACCAAUUGAACACUAGGAAUCGAUGUAAUCGACUCAGCCCUCCACACCGAAAUUUCAGGGUUUGGGCCUAUAAUGGAAAGGAUUCAUUAUUUACUACGACAAUAUUUAAUAGCAUAUAUACGAGGGGCGUUCAAUAAGUAAUGCCACUGACCCACUUGCAGUUGUUUGAUCUAGCUGAAAUUUUGCAUGUGCACUUAUUUAUACCUCUAUAGAUUAAGUGGCGAAUUACAGCCCUGAACUAAUUGUGGUUUCUGAUUUACAGGUGUUUGAACUGAGUCAAGUGUGAAAUGGAGCCUGUUGAGUGUCGAGCAGUGAUCUGGUUUUUGUAGAAGCACUUUUUUUCCCAGAAAAAUUUCUCAAACUAAAAACAGAACAUUCACCCUGGGCCCUAUAUGUAAAAUUGGGUCUCCUAUGAGCUACAUUUUGUCACUGACGCUCACUUUUUCCUAAAUAUGCGCUACUAAAACUCUGUUGGGGGCGUCUAAUGUACUCGUGUGUCUUUUAUGCCAUGAAAUGUGGUAAUUAUUGCAUGAAAUAUCUGAGUAAUAACCGAAGAAUUAAUGACAUUCUAUCUUUUUGUUUUGUUUUGCAGCCACUUUGGAGAAUAAAAGAGACAAUUCCAAGAGUGACG
rnacentral:lncRNA from 1 species